rnacentral:rRNA from 1 species
AUUGAACGCUGGCGGCAGGCCUAAUACAUGCAAGUCGAGCGAGCGGCGGACGGGUGAGCAAUGUCUGGGAAACUGCCUGAUGGAGGGGGAUAACUACUGGAAACGGUAGCUAAUACCGCAUACCAUCAGAUGUGCCCAGAUGGGUUUAGCUAGUGGGUGGGGUAACGGCGCACCUAGGCGACGAUGCCUAGCUGGUCUGCGAGGAAGAACAGCCACACUGGAACUGAGAAACGGUCCAGACUCCGACGGGAGGCAGCAGUAGGGAAUCUUGCGCAAUGGGCGCAAGCCUGAUGCAGCCAUGCCGCGUGAGUGAAGAAGGCCUUCGGGUUGUAAAGCACUUUCGGCAGGGAGGCGUUACUCGCAGAGAAAGCACCGGCUAACUCCGUGCCAGCAGCCGCGGUAAUAC